rnacentral:lncRNA from 1 species
AUGGCUGGAAUGACCCCAAACAGACUGUUGGAUCUUGCUAUACAGAGUCUGCUCAGCAACGAGUCUGCAGCAAUUCAAGCUCUGGAGGACAUUCCAAGAGAGCUUUUUGUUCCAUUGUUUAUUGCUGCCUUCAAGGGUGGGCAUAAGAAUACAUUGAGUGCUAUGGUGAAAGUUUGGCCCUUUUACUGUCUCCAUAUGGGGUCGUUGAGUAUACAGGAGCCUCAAAAUGAACUCCUAAAAGCCAUUAUUGAGAAUCUUCCAGUACAUCCAGCACAGACGUCUGCUUUUUGGAGACCUAAAUUGAGGAUCCUAGAUUUAAGGCAAGACACAAACUGUAGGAUCACCUGCCCUGAAUUCAGCACCAAAUCACCUUCGUGUUUUCAUUCUUGUACUUAUUCUGACUCCUCUAUCACAAAAAUAGAAAGACAGCUUUGUUUCAUAAAUUCAGGGUGUAAGACUCUCUUACCCAGGCCUGUAGAACUAAUAUUGGAUCUUUCCCUCAAUGGCUCCUUAAUUGAAAAGGAUUUUUUGAUUUUGCUUAUGCAUAAAAUUGAAGAGAGUUUAGGGUUUUUGCAUGUGUGCUGUCGAUAUUUGCAAAUUUAUAAGUUGUGUAAAUGCAAAUGCACACUGAGAUUUCUUGAUCUCCAAUGUGUUAAUCAGUUGUCAGUUGAUAGAGGCUCACUGAGUGAUAUCACCAGCAUCCUGUGCCAAAUGGGCCACCUAGAAAGCCUGAGUCUGUCUAAUGUCACUUUUAGAUCUCUGAGUGGGAAAGUCUUUAAAAUUUUUCUCAGUCACUUGCAGCGUAUGGAAAACCUUAAGGAACUCAGCUUCUCUUCAUUCCGCCUCAAAAAUCAUCUGGACAGAGUGCUCAGAGUCUUACCACCUGGUUUGGAUUUCUUGUAUCUGCCAUUCUGUGGUCUUUCAUACAGAGACAUCAAAUUUAUGUCCCAGAGUCCUCAUGUCACUCACCUAAAGCUAUUAAAUCUUAGUAACAACCUGAUGUAUUGGGAUGACUUUGGGCCCUUUCACAGUGUUCUGUCAAAUCUCUCUGGUACUCUUCAGCAUCUCGCGAUAAAUCAUUGCCAUAUAAGUGAUUCUGCAAUCUCUGCUCUUAUCCCUGCCCUGAUUAGAUGCACCCAUCUCCGAGUGCUGGGCUUUGCUUGUAACCCCAUCACAAUGCCUAUGCUUGUGAAUAUCAUGCAUCAUUUAACACCCAUGUUGGAGCUAAAAUAUGUGAUUUAUCCUAUUCCUGUACAUUGCUAUGAAAGAUGGCAUUUUCAUGGCAGUUUAGACAGACAGAAACUUGCCAUUGUACAACUACAACUGAAAGCAAUGCUACAACUUGCACAGGGAGAGGACAUGAACUGGGUCACUUACUGUGAGUAA